rnacentral:rRNA from 1 species
UACGGAGGGGAGCUAGCGUUGUUCGGAUAUACUGGGCGUAAAGCGCACGUAGCGGCGCCGUAAGUCAGGGGUGGAAAUCCCGGAGCUCAACUCCGGAACUGCCCUUGAAACUGCAGUGCUAGAAUUCUGGAGAGGCGAGUGGAAUUCCGAGUGUAGAGGUGAAAUUCGAUAGAUAUUCGGAAGUAAGAACCACGUGGCGGAAGG